CCUACGGGGGGCAGCAGUGAGGAAUAUUGGUCAAUGGGCUUACGCCUGAACCAGCCAAGUCGCGUGAGGGAAGACUGCCCCAUGGGUUGUAAACCUCUUUUGUCAGGGAGCAACGCCGGCUACGUGUAGCCGGACUGAGAGUACCUGAAGAAAAAGCAUCGGCUAACUCCGUGCCAGCAGCCGCGGUAAUACGGAGGAUGCGAGCGUUAUCCGGAUUUAUUGGGUUUAAAGGGUGCGCAGGCGGCGAGUUAAGUCAGCGUGAAAAUUUCGGGGCUCAACCCCGACGAGCCUUUGAAACUGGCUUG
rnacentral:rRNA from 1 species